UUCUAGUUGUGUGGCCUAGGGUAAGACAGCUAAUAUCUCUGGCCAUCACAUUCCUCAUCUGUGAAGUUGCAAUCAUGAUAACUACCUUCCCAAGGCCUUAACACAUGCCUCCAAAUUACAAAACGAGAUUUACUACCAGGUACACAUCGGAAGAAGCAGGUGUUAAUACCACUGGAACUUUGCCUUGCAAAUUAUUUACAUAAUCUGGAUAUGACUCAUUGCUCUUGGUGUAAUCCCCAAGGACCAGAAGCUCUACUUUAAAGAAAAAGAAACAUAAGAAGGAACUGAAGUAUGGGAAUCUUUUCAACCAUUACAACGCUUCAAGGCUAUAUCCAAUACGUCUGGAAACCUCAUUGGCUCUACCUUCAAAAUAUAGUCAGAAUUCAGGAAGUUCCUCAGGCAAAAAGGAAUAUGAGACCAACCAUAAACCUGGAUCUACAUCAAGAAAUGAAGAGUAUGGGAAAUGGAGUAAAACAAGGAAAACAGAAAAAGCAGCAGCAACCAUGAGUCCACCAGGAAACAAAGCUUUCCCUGAAGAACUUCCGAGCAGACUUCUCUGUACGGCUCAUUUGUCAGACAAGCCAGAUGACUGACCCAGCUGCAGGGGAGAUCAGAAAGUGGGGAACAGGAUCACUAUGAUUGUAUUACCCCGUCAAGAUCCAUUGACUCGAGAUGGGCACAUUGGCACCUCAAAAAACCAAGAAGAAAGUGAAAACAGAUAUUGAUUAAGUAAUUUGCAACAUCUGCAACAAACACCAUCCUCCUUCCAAUCAGACAUCAGGUUAAGUCUACUCUAUCCCUUAAAUAUCUCUAAAAUGCGGCUCAUUUAUCACUACCCCCACUUUAACCUAAAUUACUAUCAUCUAUGCUCAGGAUCAGACCAUCAGACUCUUCAUUGUUUCUCUGCUGUAUAAUACUGUUUCUUCCUUCCAGUUUCUUCUCCAACUUUAUCCAGUGUGAUCUUUCAUGGAGUUAAAUCUGAACUUGUUAUUCAUUUGGCUUAAACCACUUCAGCGGCAAACACCAGGCUAUUUCUUUCCUCUGCUCAUCUGGUCCCCCCUGCGUAGUAGGGGGGGGACCAACCACUUCACCAACCACUCCCACUUACCCACGUGUAGCUAAUUCCUAAUUAUCCUUUAAGGUUUUCUCUCACUCUUCCCAUCACAUCGCUCAUCUCUCAGCUAAGGUAGGUGCAACUUCAUGUGUUCUCAAAUAGUGUAUUUGUAUUGUAUAAUUGUUCUGUUUAAUACAAUUCUGUA